rnacentral:piRNA from 1 species
AGAUAGGUGACUCAAAGACAUCUGU